rnacentral:rRNA from 1 species
CGUAGGGCGAAGCGUUAUCCGGAUUUACUUGGGUGUAAAGGGAGCGUAGACGGUGUGGCAAGUCUGAUGUGAAAGGACAUGGGCUCAACCUGUGGACUGCAUUGGAAACUGUCAUACUUGAGUGCCGGAGGGGUAAGCGGAAUUCCUAGUGUAGCGGUGAAAUGCGUAGAUAUUAGGAGGAACACCAGUGGCGAAGGCGGCUUACUGGACGGUAACUGACGUUGAGGCUCGAAAAGCGUGGGGAGCAAACAGGAUU